rnacentral:tRNA from 1 species
CCAGAUGGCUCAGUGGUAAAGCAUCUGUCUGCAAUACAGGAGAUGCAGGUUCAAUCCCUGGGUCUGGA